GACAGAGGUGCCGAGCGUUAGGCGGAAUCACUGGGCUUAAAGCGUGUGUAGGCGGACUUUUUAGUGCCUUGUGAAAUCCCACGGCUCACCCGUGGAACUGCUGGGCAUACUGGGAGUCUUGAGCCACUUAGGGGCAACUGGAACAAACGGUGGAGCGGUGAAAUGCGUAGAUAUCAGGAGGAACACCAAUGGCGAAGGCAGCACUCUGGGACGUGACUGACGCUGAGACGCGAAAGCGUGGGGAGCAAACAGG
rnacentral:rRNA from 1 species